GCAUGUCUAAGUAUAAGCACUUUAUACUGUGAAACUGCGAAUGGCUCAUUAAAUCAGUUAUCGUUUAUUUGAUAGUACCUUACUACAUGGAUACCUGUGGUAAUUCUAGAGCUAAUACAUGCUAAAAACCUCGACUUCGGAAGGGGUGUAUUUAUUAGAUAAAAAACCAACGCCCUUCGGGGCUCCUUGGUGAAUCAUAAUAACUAAGCGAAUCGCAUGGCCUUGCGCCGGCGAUGGUUCAUUCAAAUUUCUGCCCUAUCAACUUUCGAUGGUAGGAUAGUGGCCUACCAUGGUGGCAACGGGUAACGGGGAAUUAGGGUUCGAUUCCGGAGAGGGAGCCUGAGAAACGGCUACCACAUCCAAGGAAGGCAGCAGGCGCGCAAAUUACCCAAUCCCGACACGGGGAGGUAGUGACAAUAAAUACUGAUACGGGGCUCUUUUGGGUCUCGUAAUUGGAAUGAGUACAAUCUAAAUCCCUUAACGAGGAACAAUUGGAGGGCAAGUCUGGUGCCAGCAGCCGCGGUAAUUCCAGCUCCAAUAGCGUAUAUUAAAGUUGUUGCAGUUAAAAAGCUCGUAGUUGAACCUUGGGUCUGGCUGGCCGGUCCGCCUCACCGCGAGUACUGGUCCGGCUGGACCUUUCCUUCUGGGGAACCUCAUGGCCUUCACUGGCUGUGGGGGGAACCAGGACUUUUACUGUGAAAAAAUUAGAGUGUUCAAAGCAGGCCUUUGCUCGAAUACAUUAGCAUGGAAUAAUAGAAUAGGACGUGCGGUUCUAUUUUGUUGGUUUCUAGGACCGCCGUAAUGAUUAAUAGGGAUAGUCGGGGGCGUCAGUAUUCAGCUGUCAGAGGUGAAAUUCUUGGAUUUGCUGAAGACUAACUACUGCGAAAGCAUUCGCCAAGGAUGUUUUCAUUAAUCAGGGAACGAAAGUUAGGGGAUCGAAGACGAUCAGAUACCGUCGUAGUCUUAACCAUAAACUAUGCCGACUAGGGAUCGGGCGGUGUUUCUAUAAUGACCCGCUCGGCACCUUACGAGAAAUCAAAGUUUUUGGGUUCUGGGGGGAGUANNGNCGC
rnacentral:rRNA from 1 species